rnacentral:rRNA from 1 species
GAUGAACGCUGGCGGCGUGCCUAAUACAUGCAAGUCGAGCGAACAGACGAGGAGCUUGCUCCUCUGACGUUAGCGGCGGACGGGUGAGUAACACGUGGAUAACCUACCUAUAAGACUGGGAUAACUUCGGGAAACCGGAGCUAAUACCGGAUAACAUGUUGAACCGCAUGGUUCAACAGUGAAAGACGGUCUUGCUGUCACUUAUAGAUGGAUCCGCGCCGCAUUAGCUAGUUGGUAAGGUAACGGCUUACCAAGGCAACGAUGCGUAGCCGACCUGAGAGGGUGAUCGGCCACACUGGAACUGAGACACGGUCCAGACUCCUACGGGAGGCAUCAGUAGGGAAUCUUCCGCAAUGGGCGAAAGCCUGACGGAGCAACGCCGCGUGAGUGAAGAAGGUCUUCGGAUCGUAAAACUCUGUUAUUAGGGAAGAACAAAUGUGUAAGUAACUAUGCACGUCUUGACGGUACCUAAUCAGAAAGCCACGGCUAACUACGUG